rnacentral:tRNA from 1 species
GAGCCCUUAGCUCAGUGGUAGAGCAACUGACUUUUAAUCAGUAGGUCGUGGGUUCGACCCCCACAGGGCUCACCA